GGGUCCACCCCACCUGCGGGUACUGAAGGACUGAGUUGCAUGAGCAACAGAAGGAUCAAGGCCUGGGAGGACAACAGGGUGCUUCCAGCAGCACAGCCUGGCUCAUACUUACCGGGGCUGGGUGUGGCCAGCUGGCCUAGUCCUCUGCAAGAGAGGUGAGCCCCUUGGCCUGGGGACACCUCUGAGCCCAAGGUGGUCCUGAGGUCUGGGUCCUGUGUCCGUCCAAGGGAAGCAAUAAUGGAGGGGUCUGCUGUUUGUAUCUUUGGGUAAUGAAGGGGCCACUUGGAAAAUC